GUUAAAACGCUCGUAGUCGGAUUUCGGGGCGAGCCUGCCGGUCUGCCGAUGGGUAUGCACUGGCAGGGUCGUCCUUCCUUCCGGAGACUGUCCCUACUCUUAACUGAGCGGGGUCGGGAGACGGAUCGUUUACUUUGAAAAAAUCAGAGUGUUUCAAGCAGGCAGCUCGCUCUUGCAUGGAUUAGCAUGGGAUAAUGAAAUAGGACUUUGGUGCUAUUUUGUUGGUUUCGAACACCGAAGUAAUGAUUAACAGGGACAGUCAGGGGCACUCGUAUUCCGCCGAGAGAGGUGAAAUUCUCAGACCAGCGGAAGACGAACCACUGCGAAAGCAUUUGCCAGGGAUGUUUUCACUGAUCAAGAACGAAAGUUAGGGGAUCGAAGACGAUCAGAUACCGUCGUAGUCUUAACCAUAAACCAUGCCGACUAGGGAUUGGAGGAUGUCCUUUUUUGACUCCUUCAGCACCUUACGGGAAACUAAAGUCUUUGGGUUCCGGGGGGAGUAUGGUCGCAAGGCUGAAACUUAAAGGAAUUGACGGAAGGGCACCACCAGGAGUGGAGCCUGCGGCUUAAUUUGACUCAACACGGGGAAACUUACCAGGUCCAGACAUUGUGAGGAUUGACAGAUUGAGAGCUCUUUCUUGAUUCGAUGGGUGGUGGUGCAUGGCCGUUCUUAGUUGGUGGAGUGAUUUGUCUGGUUAAUUCCGUUAACGAA
rnacentral:rRNA from 1 species